AUUGAACGCUGGCGGCAUGCUUUACACAUGCAAGUCGAACGGCAGCGCGGGUUUCGGCCUGGCGGCGAGUGGCGAACGGGUGAGUAAUACAUCGGAACGUGUCCUGUAGAGGGGGAUAGCCCGGCGAAAGCCGGAUUAAUACCGCAUACGAUCUACGGAUGAAAGCGGGGGACCUUCGGGCCUCGCGCUAUAGGGGCGGC
rnacentral:rRNA from 1 species